UACGGAGGGUGCAAGCGUUAUCCGGAUUCACUGGGUUUAAAGGGUGCGUAGGCGGGUAAGUAAGUCCGUGGUGAAAUCCCUGAGCUUAACUCAGAAACUGCCGUGGAUACUAUUUGCCUUGAAUAUUGUGGAGGUGAGCGGAAUAUGUCAUGUAGCGGUGAAAUGCUUAGAUAUGACAUAGAACACCAAUUGCGAAGGCAGCUCACUACACAAUCAUUGACGCUGAGGCACGAAAGCGUGGGGAUCAAACAGG
rnacentral:rRNA from 1 species